rnacentral:rRNA from 1 species
CAGCCGCCGCGGUAAUACGUAGGGUGCAAGCGUUAAUCGGAAUUACUGGGCGUAAAGCGUGCGCAGGCGGUUUGUUAAGACAGAUGUGAAAUCCCCGGGCUCAACCUGGGAACUGCAUUUGUGACUGGCAGGCUAGAGUAUGGCAGAGGGGGGUGGAAUUCCGCGUGUAGCAGUGAAAUGCGUAGAUAUGCGGAGGAACACCGAUGGCGAAGGCAGCCCCCUGGGCCAAUACUGACGCUCAUGCACGAAAGCGUGGGGAGCAAACAGGAUUAGAUACCCCCGUAGUCCCUGUCUCUUAUAC